CUGGGGGUAGGGGGCGGGGGCUUAAGUUAAUAGGGACACGCAUGGCCCCCAGGAGGAGAGAUGCAUCUUCCCUCCCUGAAGUCUCCACUCCUGGCCUUAGCCCUCUAUGCCACCAGUCCGUUCCCUUGCACCUCAGACCCAAAGUCUCCUCUUGCCGGGGAAACGCGCUGCCCUCUGUGACCCGGCCCAGGAGAGCCCCUCGGGGGGAAGGGAAGAGAGAGGCAGCGUUCUUGGGGCCAGCCCCAAGUCCGUCAGUCCCAUGGCAGGAGAGACAGGAUGUACACUCUCUGUCGCUCCCACCCCAGGUGCUUACCCUCCACUUCCAGUAGAGCCAGGGACUGGGCGGGCCCCGCCUGGAAGCGGACUUCACCGGCGUCCUCGGCGCGCAGCUCGCUAAGCACCAGAAUGUGUUUCUUCCCUGGGGGUGAGGGGGUCGCUAGCGAGGCCGGAGCCACCUCUGAGGAGCGUUGGGGACGAAGAAGCACGCGCGGUCAUCAGGGUCCGGGGAAGACAGCUCCGCA
rnacentral:lncRNA from 1 species